UACGGAGGAUGCGAGCGUUAUCCGGAUUUAUUGGGUUUAAAGGGUGCGUAGGCGGACGCUUAAGUCAGCGGUAAAAUUGUGGGGCUCAACCUCGUCGAGCCGUUGAAACUGGGUGUCUUGAGUGGGCGAGAAGUACGCGGAAUGCGUGGUGUAGCGGUGAAAUGCAUAGAUAUCACGCAGAACUCCGAUUGCGAAGGCAGGGUACCGGCGCCCAACUGACGCUGAAGCACGAAGGCGUGGGUAUCGAACAGG
rnacentral:rRNA from 1 species